rnacentral:rRNA from 1 species
CCUACGGGCGGCAGCAGUGAGGAAUAUUGGUCAAUGGGCGCGAGCCUGAACCAGCCAAGUAGCGUGAAGGAUGACUGCCCUACGGGUUGUAAACUUCUUUUAUAAAGGAAUAAAGUGAGGCACGUGUGCCUUUUUGUAUGUACUUUAUGAAUAAGGAUCGGCUAACUCCGUGCCAGCAGCCGCGGUAAUACGGAGGAUCCGAGCGUUAUCCGGAUUUAUUGGGUUUAAAGGGAGCGUAGAUGGGUUGUUAAGUCAGUUGUGAAAGUUUGCGGCUCAACCGUAAAAUUGCAAUUGAUACUGGCGGUCUUGAGUACAGUUGAGGUAGGCGGAAUUCGUGGUGUAGCGGUGAAAUGCUUGGAUAUUACGAAGAACUCCGAUUGCGAAGGCAGCUUACUAAACUGCCACUGACAUUGAUGCUCGAAAGUGUGGGUAUCAAACAGGAUUAGAUACCCGGGUAGUC